UACGUAGGGUGCGAGCGUUGUCCGGAAUUAUUGGGCGUAAAGAGCUCGUAGGCGGUGUGUCACGUCGGCCGUGAAAACCUGCAGCUUAACUGUGGGCGUGCGGUCGAUACGGGCAUCACUGGAGUUCGGCAGGGGAGACUGGAAUUCCUGGUGUAGCGGUGAAAUGCGCAGAUAUCAGGAGGAACACCGGUGGCGAAGGCGGGUCUCUGGGCCGUAACUGACGCUGAGGAGCGGAAGCAUGGGGAGCGAACAGG
rnacentral:rRNA from 1 species